GAUGAACGCUGGCGGCGUGCCUAAUACAUGCAAGUCGAGCGAACGGACGAGAAGCUUGCUUCUCUGAUGUUAGCGGCGGACGGGUGAGUAACACGUGGAUAACCUACCUAUAAGACUGGGAUAACUUCGGGAAACCGGAGCUAAUACCGGAUAAUAUUUUGAACCGCAUGGUUCAAAAGUAAAAGACGGUCUUGCUGUCACUUAUAGAUGGAUCCGCGCUGCAUUAGCUAGUUGGUAAGGUAACGGCUUACCAAGGCAACGAUGCAUAGCCGACCUGAGAGGGUGAUCGGCCACACUGGAACUGAGACACGGUCCAGACUCCUACGGGAGGCAGCAGUAGGGAAUCUUCCGCAAUGGGCGAAAGCCUGACGGAGCAACGCCGCGUGAGUGAUGAAGGUCUUCGGAUCGUAAAACUCUGUUAUUAGGGAAGAACAUAUGUGUAAUUAACUGUGCACAUCUUGACGGUACCUAAUCAGAAAGCCACGGCUAACUACGUG
rnacentral:rRNA from 1 species